rnacentral:rRNA from 1 species
GAUGAACGCUAGCGGCAGGCUUAACACAUGCAAGUCGAGGGGUAUAGGUUUUCGGACCUAGAGACCGGCGCACGGGUGCGUAACGCGUAUGCAAUCUACCUUUCACAGAGGGAUAGCCCAGAGAAAUUUGGAUUAAUACCUCAUAGUAUUAUGAAUUGGCAUCAAUUUAUAAUUAAAGUUCCAACGGUGAAAGAUGAGCAUGCGUCCCAUUAGCUAGAUGGUAAGGUAACGGCUUACCAUGGCGACGAUGGGUAGGGGUCCUGAGAGGGAGAUCCCCCACACUGGGACUGAGACACGGAACAGACUCCUACGGGAGGCAGCAGUGAGGAAUAUUGGUCAAUGGACGCAAGUCUGAACCAGCCAUGCCGCGUGCAGGAUGACGGUCCUAUGGAUUGUAAACUGCUUUUGUACGAGAAGAAACACUCCUUCGUGAAGGAGCUUGACGGUAUCGUAAGAAUAAGGAUCGGCUAACUCCGUGCCAGCAGCCGCGGUAAAAC